AAGUCGUAACAAGGUUUCCGUAGGUGAACCUGCGGAAGGAUCAUUAAUGUACUAUUGACUGGCUGUAUAGCUGGUCAUUAGAUGUGUGAACUCAAAAACGCCUUCCUGGAAGGGCUGGGCCUGCUGUUGACCAUGGCUUUUAGCCAGUGCUCGUAAGGGCACAAGUGAGGCAGUGUCCGCGCCAGGGUUUUUAACGAAUAUAGCAGGGUAUGUAUAAAUGAAUACAACUUUUAGCGAUGGAUCUCUUGGCUCUC
rnacentral:misc_RNA from 1 species